CAAAUAGCAAAAUUAACCUUAAAUGUAAAUGGGCUAAAUGCCCCAAUCAAAAGACACAGACUGACAAAUUGGAUAAAGAUCCAAAAUCCAUCGGUGUGCUGUAUCCAGGAAACCCAUCUCACGUGCAAGGACACACAUAGGCUCAAAAUAAAGGGAUGGAGGAAGAUUUACCAAGCAGAUGGAGAGCAAAAAAAAAGCAUGAGUUACAAUCGUAGUCUCUGAUCAAAUAGACUUUAAACCAACAAAGAUCAAAAGAGA